UGAUUUCCCAAAAAAAAUGUUCCAAGACGCGUCCCUUCCAUCCAGCCACCUCCUCCUCUCGUUUCCACUCUCCAAUCUUCCUACCAUCGUCAAGCGCAGCAACUAAUUCCGGGCGAGCUGGAGGUGAUGUCGACUAGGUCUCAGUUCCCGUGCACAUCCCCCACCGCCGUCCUCAACGGAGCUGGCCACGCGGUGCUCAUCUGAGUAGCGGCUGCGGCAAACAACGUGAGGAAACGCGGUUUCGAGAUCGCGCAGCCGGCUGUCUACACGAAAUGUCUAGCACCUAUGUACGACAUCACCUCCAAGAAAAAUGGCAGCGAUAUGCACAGAUAAGCACCGUUUCCAUCAUGAUGCAUAGUACAACAUGUUAUCAUAUUCUGAAUUUGGGCGAUCGUACUGUCUGCCAUGAACAGGACAGAUCUAACACUGAGAAUUGUUGGGGCAUGCACAAGAGGCCGUGCAACAGAUGAUUAACUAGUUAUAUUCUUCAUUGACCAUUCUUUUUUGCAGUUUUCCAUUUUAAAGGUGAAGAUGCAAACAUGGAUGCAUGUUCGUGGAGGUGAUGACGCUGAUCUUCUAAAUGGGUACUACUUGAAUAACAUCAUCCAUGGAUGGCCUACUUGCUCCUACUUUUGAAGAUGCAUCAAUAACAGAUGCUCCACCGUUAUAGAAGCAUCACGAGGCGUGGUAGUAAUUGGUGAAGAAUGAUAUGCACGUAAAUCCAAGGACUGGGUGGUGUCUCAUGACUGAAGAUUAC